GGUGCUAUAGUGUAGUGGUUAUCACUCGGGAUUUUGAAAUGGCAGUUUCAGCCCAUUGGAUCUUCCCGAAACCCAGGUUCGAACCCUGGUAGCACCU